AGGGGCUUAGCUUAAUUAAAGUGGUUGAUUUGCAUUCAAUUGAUGCAGAGUGGAGCCUUGCAGUCCUUA
rnacentral:tRNA from 1 species